rnacentral:rRNA from 1 species
CCGACGGUGAGAGACGAAAGCUGGGGAGCAAACCGGAUUAGAUACCCGGGUAGUCCCAGCUGUAAACGAUGCGCGUUAGGUGUGUCAGUGACCACGUGUCACUGAUGUGCCGAAGGGAAACCGUGAAACGCGCCGCCUGGGGAGUACGGUCGCAAGGCUGAAACUUAAAGGAAUUGGCGGGGAGCACCACAACGGGUGGAGCCUGCGGUUUAAUCGGACUCAACGCCGGAAAUCUCACCGGAUAAGA